GACCAGCUAUGGAGAUCUCCCCAGUAUCUCAGACUUAGCUCUAACUUGUUCUUAUUAGCUAGAUGACCUGCUAACAGAUCUGUUGUAUAACUUGUAUAUGACCAUGCCUACUCGCGUAGUUGUUCUUUUAUUCUUUGUUUUCCCUUAAUUUAUUCCUUGACGUUGCUCCGAUGUGUGUCCGCUAUCAAAUCAACUACAUACUUACCCCUCUUUAUACUAUGUCUACCAUGCAUUUCAAUAAGUAAUCAUGUUUAUAACCAAAGCUAGAUGUGUUCACAAUGCCUUCCUACGGGAAAUUAUAAAUACGACACCCCUG
rnacentral:lncRNA from 1 species